GACGAACGCUGGCGGCGUGCUUAACACAUGCAAGUCGAACGGAAAGGCCCUGCUUUUGUGGGGUGCUCGAGUGGCGAACGGGUGAGUAACACGUGAGUAACCUGCCCUUGACUUUGGGAUAACUUCAGGAAACUGGGGCUAAUACCGGAUAGGAGCUCCUGCUGCAUGGUGGGGGUUGGAAAGUUUCGGCGGUUGGGGAUGGACUCGCGGCUUGUCAGCUUGUUGGUGGGGUAGUGGCUUACCAAGGCUUUGACGGGUAGCCGGCCUGAGAGGGUGACCGGCCACAUUGGGACUGAGAUACGGCCCAGACUCCUACGGGAGGCAGCAGGGGGGAAUAUUGCACAGUGGGCGGAAGCCUGAUGCAGCAACGCCGCGUGCGGGAUGACGGCCUUCGGGUUGUAAACCGCUUUCGCCUGUGACGAAGCGUAAGUGACGGUAAUGGGUAAAGAAGCACCGGCUAACUACGUG
rnacentral:rRNA from 1 species